rnacentral:lncRNA from 1 species
CCCAUAGGGUAAAACUCUUGGCAUAAAAGAUGCUUGAAUGCAUUCCACCCAAUCUCUAUAUCGCCAUUGGAAUGGAGAUAUGCAUUCCACCAUGCUAAGGCGUGGUUGGUUAGUUUUAAUCAGACAAAAGCCAUCCGAUCUUCACUAUCAUACCCACAUAGGGUAAAAUAUGUCUCCAACUAGUCGAUCCAGGCAUCCAACUUUUCAGUAUUCACUGCACCAUCA